rnacentral:lncRNA from 1 species
CUGCCAGAAUGUUUGACAGUGGUUAGUCUGUUCUCCUCUUCAAAAUCAGGCAGCUUACUAGAGAGUGACAUCACAGGGGAUGAGACACAUCCGUCUCUACACUCUCUGCUUCUACAACCUGUCCAACGUAUCCCGGAAUACCAUACGCUCCUCCAGAGACUUGUACAGCAGACAGAGUCAGAGCAUCCAGACUAUUACCUGUUACUGGUGUCUGUGCAACAACUCCGAUCUUUCAUGACCCGUUACAGCCAUCUGCUACAGCACAACCAGGAGCUCCUCACACAGUCAUGCCCUGCGAGAACACACACACAACCUGUGCACACACCAGCAGGAGCGGCCCUCACACACCCGAAAAGAGCUUAGCAGGUCUACAGUGAGACAGCUGUAUAAAGUCGACUAUGAGAAAAAUUACAGCAACACCAGUGCACAAAAUGAUCCUUCUCGACGUAACAAACACUACACUGACUAUGAAGCGGCACCCUAUCACUACGACCCAGAAAUCCCGUCCGACUCUGACUCUCGCCACAAAGCCAUCUCAGUUCCUCUGCGCAGCAUUCCAGAGACAGAUGGAGCGGGAUCUGUCCUCUCUGAUGCACUGGGUGUGCUCUUUCCCUACAGAGCUGGAGGCUCUCGCUGCUCAAGCCCGUCUCAUUCCUCUGACUCCAGCAUUGAUAUCGCCUUUGUGCAUUGUAGUCCUUCUCAUAGUCCACCUAGACAGUACCACAGUAGGGGGCGUAGUGCUGGGGGUGUGGUUUAUAGGUCCAACAGAGGCUGCGUGUCACCUGACUCAGCAGAUAUUGUGAGACCACGCCCUCUACAGGCAGUGCAGAGAAAGAGCAAAUCACUAAACGGCCUGCAGCUGGACAGUUUUGAUAUCCACGCCCACCAGACAAAAACUCCCGCCCACCCAAGGCUGGAGCGCCAGUCAAGUGGCAAAUCAAGAAAGAGACCCAGCAGUCCAAAACACAGAUAUGAGACACACACUGACACAGAGGAGCAGCCACGACUAAUAAAUCAAAAGGAUGCUAGAAGCCUGGUGUGGGAGGAGAUCAAAUUGAGGGGUGUGUCUGAUGACUAUGACCACACCCCCUUGAGUGAGCGCAAUAGGAAAGAAGGAAAAGGAUUUAGGAACUCCUUCAAAAAGCUCUUUAAGAAGAAGUGAGUUAAUAAGAGGAGACACACGGCUACUUUGCACGUCCUCACAUUUAAAGCCAUGAUACUUUGUGUGUGUGUGCGUGUCAGGUCUAGUGGGGACGGAAAGGAGAAGACAACAGUGAAAGCUGAGUGUCAAAGCAGUGGAGAGCUGGAGACCACCAAAGCCCCUCACACAGGAGACAUUGACAGAGGAACUUUUACUUUUUUUUACUAAGUGGUUCUCAACUGGUUUUGUGUCAGGGUACAGAUUUUACAAUGAACUUCAAGUGGUGAUCCAACACAAUACCACAAAUGCUUGGUCUUUAGUGUUCGCUCUCUAAAUAUUUCUGGAAUGUUGAGGGUUUCAUGCUUUCGGACACAAAACAUUUUGCUUGAGUAAUCAAUUAUUAAUAUAAUUUUGGCCAGAAGUUUGAGAACAUUUGGUUCUUGCAUUGUUUAUGCAGAUAUAUACUCACACAUAUAAACAAACAGGCACACUUAUCCAUCUUUUGUUCAGUUUAUGCUGGGCUGCACUGACAGGAUGCAAAACUGUAUCUGAUAAAAUGUAUAAUGUUAAUUACUCAUAAAUAAAAAUACUGCUAUAAAUACAUGUUGUAUAC